rnacentral:rRNA from 1 species
UACAGAGGUCUCAAGCGUUGUUCGGAUUCAUUGGGCGUAAAGGGUGCGUAGGUGGCGCGGUAAGUCGGGUGUGAAAUCUCGGAGCUUAACUCCGAAAUUGCAUUCGAUACUGCCGUGCUCGAGGACUGGAGAGGAGACUGGAAUUCAUGGUGUAGCAGUGAAAUGCGUAGAGAUCAUGAGGAAGACCAGUGGCGAAGGCGGGUCUCUGGACAGUUCCUGACACUGAGGCACGAAAGCCAGGGGAGCAAACAGG